GACGAACGCUGGCGGCGUGCUUAACACAUGCAAGUCGAACGGAAAGGCCCUGCUUUUGUGGGUUGCUCGAUUAGCGAACGGGUGAGUAACACGUGAGUAACCUGCCCCUGACUUUGUGAUAACUUUAGGAAACUGGGGCUAAUACCGGAUAUGAGCUCCUGCUGCAUGGUGGGGGUUGGAAAGUUUCGGCGGUUGGGGAUGGUCUCGCUGCUUAUCAGCUUGUUGGUGGGGUAGUGGUUUACCAAGGCUUUGACGGGUAGCCGGCCUGAGAGGGUGACCGGCCACAUUGGGACUGAGAUACGGACCAGAAUCCUACGGGCGGCAGCAGUGGGGAAUAUGGCACAAUGGGCGGAAGCCUGAUGCAGAAACGCCGCGUGCGGGAUGACGGCUUUCGGGUUGUAAACCGCUUUCGCCUGUGACGAAGCGUGAGUGACGGUAAUGGGUAAAGAAGCACCGGCUAACUACGUG
rnacentral:rRNA from 1 species